GACUGGGCGGCGGCAGGGGAGGGCCGGGCGUGCGGAGGGCGGCGGGACGGGGAUCCGGGGAGCCGCCCGGAGCGAGUGCGGACGCGGGCCGAGCGGAUGCGAGCUCACCCGGCCUGCGCUGUGGCGGCUGUCUCAGGAGGAGAGAACAGCCGGUAGCAAAGCUCAGUUCCUUCACCCCUGAGCGUUUGGUGUGAAUAUUGACCACAUGCAGUUGUUGACAUGAACGUUUUAACUUUUCAUAUGUCGUCGCUUCCUGCGUUGACGUACAGUCUGGGUGCAGAAUUUCUCCUCUCACUUGGCUUUGGAACGUCCAAACCUGUAGCCACCAGUUCACCCUGUACACAGUUGCAAAAUGAUAAGUAGUUAAAUAUUUAAAGUAUUUUCUUUGAAUUUGAAUGGGAGGCUUACCUGAAUGCUCUUAAAACUCGUUCUGAUUGAAUGGAAUGGGUGAUGGCAGCCUCUUGAGACCUGAAGGACUCUUCUGUGUGGUGAUUUACAAUGCAGAUGGACAAGUGCCGGCAGACAGCGGCGGGUACCCAGGUCUCGCCAGAUAGGUGGGGCGGGGAGUCAAGGUUGUGGGGAGAGGACCGCGUGAAAAGUGCGGCUUCUGGGAAGUGCGUGUUCGUCUUUGGAAGUGAAGUAAUGCGUGCGUGACUUAUUUAGAGCUGAACGAACUUUGAUAUUCCGGUUGGAGAUGCAGCUGUGUUGAGCCAGUGGUCUUUAGGCGUGGAAGUGACAGACCUGUGUGCAGGAAGGGAACGGGUGCUGGCCUGGAGGGUGGGGCGGAGAUGCUCACCCGUCCGUCUGAGCAGUGGUGAGGACGUGAGAGCUGGAUUCAGGGUUAGGAAUUGAAGGUCGGUGACGGGAGGUGAAGGUGGAGUUGUUAAAAGAUUUUUAGCUGCAGAGAUCUGGGACACCUUUUUAACUUGAACCGAGGUUUGCGAUGUGCUUUUGGUGAAUUUGUGGUUGAAGUCCCUUUGAGGGGUCACGCCCCAGCUUUCUGCCGUGGCCGCCACUCUGGAUGUCACACACCUGUUAGGGCAGUGUUUAACAAGUGGGGAGACUGACUGAAAGAUGACGACUUGCUGAAGGCCACAAGUCUGAGAAGGGGUCUUCCUGUGUUUGAACCCAGACCUUUGAAUCUUGCUUUCAUGCAUUGUACAAAUACUGUGUGUGUUCUUUUUAAAAUUAAUUAAUUAAUUUAUGGCUGCGUUGGGUCUUCGUUGCUGCGCGCGGGCUUUCUCUAGUUGCGGCGAGCCGGGGCUUCUCUUCCUUGCGGUGCGUGGGCUUCUUCUUGCAGUGGCUUCUCUUGUUGUGGGUCACGGGCUCUAGGCAUGCGGGCUUCAGUAGUUGUGUCUCCCGGGCUUCAGUAGUUGUGGCGCACAGGCUUAGUUGCUCCGCGGCAUGUGGGAUCUUCCCGGACCAGGGCUCGAACCCGUGUCCCCUGCAUUGGCAGGCGGAUUCUUAUCCACUGCGCCACCAGGGAAAUCCCUGAAUAUUAUGUGUUUUCAAAGUUACUUAAAAACAAAAAAACAACAAACCUGUAUUCCAAUAGUUGGGACAUUUCAUGUAGAUUUUUUGGAGUUAGAUAAUGGCAACUCACAGUUCUAAGUGCUUUUCUUGUGUUAAACUGUUCUUUUCUCAAAAGUGCUUCUCAGAGUAGGUUGUGCAGAAGGAACUGAGGCCCCAGGAUUAAGUGACUUGUCGAAGAUCACACAGCUAGUCAGAUGUGGAGCUGAUUUGAGCUCAGGCAGUGCAGCUCCAGAAUCUUUUGCUCGUGAGAUGAUUGUGUGGGGUUGCUUCUGAAGUGAAAUCUUUUUAGAACUGAAAAGAAACUGAACUGAAAAGAACUGAACUGAACUGAAAAGAAAGUUCUGUGGUUUUAAAAAGUAUUAUAUUACCUGAAUGAUUUUCUUUUUUGCAGUGUAUUUUUUCAAUAAUGGAAUAUUCUUAAAUAAUCAUGAUACUAAAAAGCAACAAAAGAAACCCUUUAAGUGCCUCUUUGGGAAGUAAUAUUUUCUUGUGCACAUCAGCACAAUUUUUGGUAAUCCCGUGUCUACCACACACUGUGAAAUUAAAGGUAAUUUACUAUGAACAGAGGUGGAUAGAUUAGUGCAGCUGCAUUAGCCUGCUGUUUUCUAAUGGUGAAGAUACAGAUUUAACCGAGUACUAAGAAUAUAUAGAGAACAGCAUCAGUAAAGGAUCUAUAGAUAUGGAAGCACUGAACAACUUCUUUCCUAGUUAAUUAAUCCACUAGGUCCUCUUUAUGAAAUCUUGCAUCUCUUAGAAUGGAGAAAUAAUGGUAAAAGUCACCUUCUGUUCCCCAAAGUGAUUGGCAACAGUAGACCAAGGAUUUUGAAAGAAUUGUUUUAAGGUUAUGAAACUUCUGUGAUUUACCUACGUUUUAUUUUUUAUUAUCUUUACUUGGUUUCCCUAAAACAGCAAACUGCUGAAAAGGGGAAACUUUUUUUUUUAAUUAAGCAUGGAUCUGUGUACUUGUUUUGGAAGGGGGCGGGGAACCACAAUCGCGAUGAUGAGGGAAUGGGGCACUUACAGUUGAGAAUAAAAAGCUCUGAUUCUCCAAAUUGAAGAAGACAGACUUCCUUGGCCCUCCUCCCAAGCCUUGAACAAGUAACUGCCGAGCCUUUUAAAACUUGCCCAGUCACUGGAAGCCUCUUUUCAGUGCCUUCCUCCUGAGGGUCGGCCUGUCGGUAGCAGCCUUGGGAACCAUCCUGUGAAAAUUGGCCAAUCCCUAAACUGCUUCUGAGAGUGUACCAAUCCCUGUACUCCUUGCUUCUCAAAACUGUGAUAAGAUCAGCACUUGCUUUGUAAGGCCAGAUUUCUUUGCAAGCAAAAAAUUCAGCUUUUUUGUUUUGGAUAUAUGUGGAUGGUGGUCUUAACCUUGGACAAUUCUAUUUACCAGCUUUGGGGAAAGAAGAACCCCAAAGGAUAGAGAGGAUAGUGGGACUUUAAGGAGGAAAUAACGGCAAGUCUGAUAAAGUGAGUGGAAAGCAUAAAGAAGGAUUUUUGUUGAGGCAUGCUCUGGCCAAGGAAGCCAGUCUGGGCUUGAAAGUGACCUUGUGCUUAAUAUUUAGGAAUGCCACCACGAGGUUCUUGACAGCUCCUCUGUUAAAUUAUGCUUUUGAAGGCUAGAACCCAAUUCAGUGAAUUUUAUUGUUAAUAAUUGUAUUAUUAGUUUUUUUUUUUUUUUUUUUUUUGCUGUACGCGGGCCUCUCACUGCUGUGGCCUCUCCCGUUGCAGAGCACAGGCUCCGGACACGCAAGCUCAGCGGCCAUGGCUCACGGGCCCAGCCGCUCUGCGGCAUGUGGGAUCCUCCCGCACCGGGGCACGAACCCGUGUCCCCUGCAUCAGCAGGCGGACUCUCAACCACUGCGCCACCAGGGAAGCCCUAAUUUUAUUAUUUUUAACUUUACUUCCUCUGAUUUUUAUAUCUCCCAGUUCUAAAAUGCUAAAUGAUCCUUCAAGCUCACUUUCUACUGAGCCUGAGAUAUACUUUUCACAUAGAUAACUUGUCUGAAAAGCGUGUCUGUUCCAAAUCAGCUUCUCAAACACUUCAUGUUCCUUUAUUACCCACGAAAAGUUCCUCCCACUGUUAACCCUCCCUGCCCCGCUCAUCUCUCGUUUUAUUCCAGUCCACCUUUUUGGUUUUACUUACCUUUUGCCCAGUAUAUUCAGACUUUUACUACCUUACCUCAGUCAUUUUCUGAUGCUGAUCUAUUCACUUGGAAUGUCUUGGACUCCAAGUCACCAACCCUCCAUAGCCUUUCCAUUUUGAACCUCAGUGAUAGGCCCAGAUGUGCAAAGAAAACAUGAUUCCUGCCCUGAAGAAGUUCAGUCCAAUAGGGAAAAUAGGUGUAGAAGUAGAUAAUUACAACGUAGUGAGGUGAGUGCAAUGAAAUAAGUAUAAACUGGCCACUCUGGGAAUUCCUCGGAGGGGCACCAAGCUUAUCCUUGAGGGAGGAGGGGUUAUAAGAGGGUAUAGAAGUGGAAUUGUGGGCUUACAGAAAUUAUUUAAGAUCUUGGGAGGUACUGCCAGUUGUCCUGUAAACAUGCAGAAAGUACAGUUUUUCUACUUAUCCUCACUACCAGUGGACAUUAUCAAUCUUUAAGUUAGUGUUUUGAUAAUAAAAAAUUGGCAUUCAUUUUUUUACCUGGCAUUUCUUUAACUCGAGUUUAACUGAUUUUGUUUUAUAGCUUGCACAUUAAAACUUUUUUUGAAAUAGUUUCGGAUUUAUAGAAAGUUGCAAGUACAGUACAAAGAACUUCUUCCCCUGAAUCAUUUGAAACUAAGUUGACAAAAAUGAUGCCACAUUACCCCCAAUAUUGUCUGUUUCCUACAAUAAGAACAUUCUCAUAUAUAUCCAGAACACAACCAUCAAAAUCAGGAGAUCAAUUUAUUACCAUCUAAUCCUCAGACUCCAUUGAAAUUUUGCCAGUUGUUCCAAUAACAUCAUUUAUAGUAAAGAAUCUAGUUAGAAUUGCGCAUUGAAUUUAGUUAUCUUUAGUCUCUCUCAAUCUGGAACAGUUCUUAGUUUUUCCUUCCAUGAUCUUUUUCUAAGUGUAUAAUUAGUUGAUUUUUAGUAAAUUUAUAGAGUUGUGCAACCAACAGCGCAAUCUAAUAUUAGAACAUUUCCAGCACUCUCCCCAAAAACCUAUCCAUGUGCAGUUACUACCCGUUCCCUCCCACAGCUGACUGCUAAUCUACCUUCUGUCUCUGUGGAUUUGUCUUUCCUGAACGUUUCAUGCGAAUGGAAUCAGACAGUAUGAGGACUUCUGCGUCUGGCUUCUUUCACUCAGCGUCAUGUUUUCGAGAUUCAGUCAUGUUGUAGCGUGCAUCGGUACCUAGUUACUUUUAUUGCCAGGUACUGUUUUGUGGUAUGGGUAUGCCAUAUUUUGUUCAUCCAGUCAACAUUUGGUGGACACUUGGGUGGUUUCCACAUUUUGGCUAUUAUGAAUAGUGCGCCCUUGUAUCAUCUGGACACUUUUGAAGAUUGCAGGUUAGAUAUUUUGUACAGUGCCUCUUAACUGAAUGUCUGCCAGACUUCUGUGAAUUACACUUUCCCCUUUGGUUAUUAACAAGUAUUUUGUGGGGAGAUGCUUGGAAACCAUGUAAAAUAUCCCAUUCCUCACUAAACUUUCAAUUUAUUAAAUUGUUUAUGUUACCAUGGACUUAAGUUUACAUUCUAGUGGGUUAUAUUUUGGUUACUAUUUCUGAAUACCAAACCACCCCAAAACUUUGUAGAAUGAAACAUUUUAUUAAAAAAACUCAGUAAUUCUUUGGGUCAGGAGUUCAGGUGGGAGCAGGGAAGCUGGCUUGUUUAUAUUCCACAAUGUCUGGGGCCUCAUCUGGAAAGACUCAAAGGCUCAGGGUGACUGGACAGCUGCAGGCUCUAGAGCAUCUUCACUCUUGUGUCUGCUAGUUGAUGUGGAGCCUCUCCAUGUGGGCUAGUUGAACUUCUUACAAUAAGGAGUCUAGAUUCCAAGAGUAAUGGUACCCAGAGGGCAGGCAAAAGCAUGUGGCAUUUUUAUGGUCUACCUUUGGAAUUCACAUGGCAUUACUUCUGCCACACUUUAUUGGUUGAGGUUGCCAGAAAGUUCUGCCCAGGUUCUAAGGGUGGGAGCAUAGAUGCCCCUACUUUUUGGGAGGAGUGUCAAGGACAUAUUUUAAGGAAAGCAUGUGGGAUGGGAGAUCCUGUUACGCUAUCUUUGGAAAAUUCAGCGCCACAGAUUAAUCUGUUAUUGUCAUUACUUAUUUGGUACCCACAUUGUCCCGCAUUUGGCUUGUGGGAACUCCUUCAAGCGCUUGACUUCUUUUGAGUCCUUUUGACAUGUCUCACCAUUCUUUGAGCAACUUCGUUAUUUUCUGGCAUAAGACAUUCUAGGCUCAUCUUGUCUUUUAUGUGCUCCAGCCCUAGAAUCAGCCGUUUUUUCCAAGGAGCCCUGUUUCCUUUUAAUGGAAAGUGGUAUUUAGAAAGUAAGAUUUGAGGGACUUCCCAGGUGGCACAGUGGUUAAGAAUCUGCCUGCCAAUGCAGGGGACACGGGUUCGAGCCCUGGUCUGGGAAGAUCCCACAUGCUGUGGAGCAACUAAGCCCAUGAGCCACAACAACUGAGCCCGUGUGCCACAACUACUGAGCCCAUGCCCUGCAACAAGCGAAGUCGCCGCAAUGAGAAGCCCCCAUACUGCAAUGAAGACUAGCCUCUUCUGUCCGCAACUAGAGAAAGCCUGGGCGCAGCAACAAAGACCCCACGCAGCCAAAAAUAAGUAAAUAAAUAAAUAAAAUUUAAAAAGAAAAGAAAAGUAAGAUUUGGGCCCAAGGAGUGCUCACUGCUACUGGGGUGUGUAACUGCUUCCAGGCUCUUGCAGUGGACAGAGCUAUACAAUAUACACAGACACAUUAACAAAUGUAUUUAUUUUUAAUCUAUGUAUGUGUUAAAAAUAAUGAGGUCACAGCUAUACCUCUUAUCAUGGUCAAGUACCACAGGAUUUAUUUUAAUUUUAUGCUUUUUCAGGUAUUUUAAAAACAGCUUUAUGGAGAUGUAAUUUACAUACCAUACACUUCACCUGUUUUUAAAAAAAUUAUUUACUUAUUUAUUUAUUUGGCUCUGCCGGGUCUUAGUCGCGGCACGUGGGAUCUUCACUGAGGCACACGGGAUCUUUAGUUGCGGCAUGCAGGAUCUAGUUCCCUGACCAGGGGUCGAACCCAGGCUCCCGGCAUUGGGAGCGUGGAGUCUUAACCACUGGACCACCAGGGGAGUCCCCAGUUCACCUAUUUAAAGUGUACUUACUAAGUGGCUUUUAGUAGGUUCACAGAGUUGUGCAUACAUCACCACAGUCGAUUUUAGAAUAUUGUCAUUAUUCCAAAAGGAAACCCUGUUGCCCUUAGCCAUCACCUUCCAGUCCACCUCAGCCUUAAGCAACCAGUAUUCUCCUUUCUGUCUCUAUAGAUUUGUCUGUUCUGGAUACUUCAUAUACAUUGAAUCAUAUAAUAUGUGGUCCUUGGUGUCUGGCUCCUUUCACAUAGCAUAAUGUUCCCUCACACAGGAUCUUUGUUGAGGCAUGUGGGAGCUUUCGUUGAGGCACCAGGGCUUCUCUUUAGUUGUGGCUCAUGGGCUCAGUAGUUGUGGCCCACGGGCUUAGUUGCUCCACGGCUUAUGGGAUCUUCCCAGACCAGGGAUUGAACCCAUGUCCCCUGCAUUGGCAGGCAGAUUGUUAACCACUGCGCCACCAGGGAAGUCCCCUUAGCCUAUUUUUAAGUUGGGUUUUUUAUUUGCCUUUUAAUUAUUGUUAUGUAUUCUGGAUAUAAGUUUCUUAUCAGAAAUAAGAUUUACAAAUAUUUUCUCCUAUUUUGUGGAUUCUCUUUGCUUUUUUGAUGGUUUCCUUCAAAGCAGGUAGGUCUUUAAUUUUGAUGAAGUCCAACUUAUCUAUUUUUUCUCUUGUUGCUAGUGCUUUUUGGUGUCAUAUCUAAGAAUCCAUUGCCAAAUCCAAGGUCAUGAAGAUUUAUGCCUAUGUUUUCUUCCGAGAGUUUUAAAAUUUCACCAUGUGCAUGUAUGAUCCAUUUUGAGUUAAUUUUUGUAUAUGGUAUAAGGGAAGAGUCCAACUUCAUUCUUUUGUAUGUGGAAAUCUGAUUGUCCCAGAGUAAAAAUUACUCUGCUUUACCAGCCCUGUUUUAAAAAAUUUUAUGUGUGUAUGUGUAUAUGUACUUAUUACAGUUUUGUUUUCUUCCCUUUUAAGGAAAAUUUCAAAAAUGUUUCAAAUUCCCGUGGAGAAUCUUGACAACAUCAGGAAGGUACGGAAAAAGGUGAAAAGCAUUCUUAUGGAUAUUGGGCUUGACAGCUGCAAGGAGUUGCUGAAGGACCUUAAAGGCUUUGAUCCAGGAGAGAAGUACUUUUAUAACACAUCAUGGGGAGAUAUUUCUCUCUGGGAACCUUCUGGAAAGAAAGUGAGAUAUCGAACAAAACCAUACUGUUGUAGCCUCUGUAAAUACUCCACAAAAGUGCUUACUUCAUUCAAAAAUCAUUUACAUCGUUACCAUGAAGAUGAAAUUGACCAAGAGCUGGUGAUCCCUUGUCCAAACUGUGUGUUUUCCUCUCAACCCAGAGUUGUGGGAAGGCACUUCAGAAUGUUUCAUGCACCUGCUCGGAAAGUCCAGAACUACACUGUGAAUAUUUUAGGUGAAACUAAAUCAUCUAGGAGUGAUGUGAUAAGUUUUACAUGUUUAAAAUGUAACUUUUCAAACACUCUGUACUACAGCAUGAAGAAGCAUGUGCUGGUAGCCCAUUUUCACUACUUAAUUAAUUCCUACUUUGGCCUGAGAACUGAGGAGAUGGGUGAGCAACCAAGAGCUGACGACCCCCGUUCUACAGAGAAGAUGCCCCCAUCCGACAGGUAUUACUGUAAAAAGUGCAGCACCAACGCCAGCAGCCAGGAUGCUUUAAUGUACCACAUCUUGACGUCGGAUAUACACAGGGAUUUGGAGAAUAAGCUUAGGUCUGUGAUCUCAGAACAUAUUAAGAAGACUGGACUUUUGAAGCAAAUGCAUAUUGCUCCAAAACCAGCUGCACGUGUGGCUGUACCACCCAACAGCAGUGCUCCGGGCAUCCCAGCCACAUCUCCUUGCUUCCACCUGGCCUUGCCACAGAACAGUCAGAGCCAAACUGUGGUACAGCCAGUUCAGGGUGCGCCCCCCCCGGUGACUGGGGCCUCGGGCGCUUCUGGAAGCCUCACCCACUCCCCGCCUGCCGUUGCCCAGUCUCAUGUGACUCUGGUCUCCAGUCCUCUGCCAGUGGGCCAGAGCAACCUCACUCUGCCGCCCUCAACACCUCAGCCUGUCUUUCUCUCUCAUGGAGUUCCACUUAAUCAGGCAGCAAACCCUCCUGCGUUGCCCUUGAGUCAGCCAGUGGGACCUGUAAAUAAGUCGGUCGGAACCGGCGUCCUCCCCAUAAAGCAGACCAUCCGCCCGGGGGUUUUGCCCCUCAGCCAGCCUGUUGGGCCCAUAAGCAGACCAGUCGGGCCUGGAGUUCUCUCGGUAAAUAGACCUGUUGCGUCCGGUGUCCUUCCUGUCAAUCCCUCUGUCACCCCUGGAGUUCUUCAGGCGGUCUCGCCAGGGGUGAUUUCUGUGAGUCGGACAGUCCCGUCAGGGGUCCUUCCUGCGGGACAGAUGACCCCUGCUGGGGUUAUCCCUUCAGGACAGACAGCAACUUCUGGGGUUCUCCCUGCUGGCCAGGUGGUUCAGUCAGGGGUUCUCCCCAUUGGCCAGACAGCGCCAUCGGGGGUGCUCCCCACUGGGCUGACAGUCCCGCCGCGGGUCCUCCCUCCUGGCCAGACGGUCCCACUGAGGGUUCUCCCUGCAGGCCAGGUAGUCCCACCUGGGCUCCUUCCUCCCAACCAGACGGUCUCGUCAGGUGUUCUCCCUGUGAACCAGGGUAUUAACUCUGGUGUUCUUCAGCUCAGUCAGCCUGUCGUGUCAGGGGUCCUUCCUGUGGGCCAGCCAGUGAGGCCGGGGGUCCUGCAGCUUAAUCAGUCUGUGAGUACCAACAUCCUGCCUGCUCAUCAGCCCAUCAGACCCGGGGCUUCGCCAAACACCGCUUUCCUAACAUCAGGCUCUAUUCUCAGACAGCUGAUACCCACAGGGAAACAAGUGAAUGGGAUUCCCACAUACACACUUGCCCCAGUAUCUGUCACUUUGCCUGUGCCCCCUGGAAGUGUCGCCACUGUUGCCCCCCCCCAGAUGCCCAUCCAGCUCCUGCAGUCGGGCACGGCUGCACAGAUGGCCAGCUCCAUGGCCAGCCUGCCCUCCCCACCAGUGGUGGUAAAUGCCACUCAGAAUAUGUUCGUUCAGCCUUCUUCGUCUGUGGCAGAGGCAAAUCAGGUGCUCAAACAGGCAAAGCAGUGGAAAACCUGUCCAGUUUGCAACGAGCUCUUCCCUUCCAAUGUCUACCAGGUCCACAUGGAAGUGGCACAUAAGCACAGCGAAUCCAAAUCCGCUGAAACACUGGAGCCGGAAAAGCUGGCGGCAUGUGCACCGUUUCUAAAGUGGAUGAGAGAGAAAACAGUUCGGUGUUUGUCCUGUAAGUGCUUAGUCUCAGAGGAGGAGCUUAUCCGCCACUUGCUGGUGCACGGCCUGGGGUGCUUGUUCUGCCCGUGCACUUUCCACGAUAUUAAAGGCCUCUCAGAGCAUAGUAGGGCUAUGCACCUAGGGAAGAGGAGACUGCCCGUGGACUAUAGCGACAAAGGAUUUCAGCUGGAUGUCGAUGCCAAUGGCAGCCUGCUGUUUCCCCACCUCGACUUCAUCACCAUCUUGCCCAGGGAGGAGCUGGGUGAGCGGGAGGUCUACUUGGCCGUGCUGGCUGGGAUACACUCCAAGUCACUGGUGCCCGUGUACAUCAAAGUGAGGCCGCAGACCGAGGGUGCGCCCGGGAGGCCUGGCAACCAGGCGCUGACCUGCCCUUUUUGCUUCGGCACCUUCGUGACGGCUGAGGCGUACGAGCUGCAUCUGAAGGAGCGGCACCACAUCAUGCCAACGGUGCACACGAUUUUGAAAUCCCCGGCUUUCAAGUGCAUCCACUGCUGUGGGGUUUACACGGGCAACAUGACUCUGGCAGCCAUUGCCAUACACCUGCUGCGCUGUCGGAGUGCUCCAAAGGACAGCAGCUCAGGCCUGCAGGUCCAGCCUAAUUUUAUUGAGAACAGUGAACUGCUUUUAGUCAAUGGUGAGGUGAUACACGACUCCAGUUUUUCUGUAAAGAGAAAGAUGCCUGACGGCCAGUUUGGGGCUGAGGAGCAGAGGGAGGGCGAGGAGCGGCCUGUCCCCACGAGCGCUGACAGAGAGCCAUCCCCGGAGAAGGCGACGAGCGCCGUGCCUUCUAAAAGACAGAGGAGCGAAAGCAGGACGGAGGCGCCCCUUGUUCACGACGACGCUCUCCAGGUUUUAGCGUUAAAUCCUAAAAGAUAUGAAGACCGUUCUUACGAAGAAAAAAAGCAGUUUCUUAGAGAUUAUUUCCACAAGAGACCAUAUCCCAGUAAAAAGGAAAUAGAACUGUUAUCCUCACUCUUAUGGGUGUGGAAAAUUGACGUGGCUUCAUUUUUUGGAAAAAGAAGGUAUAUUUGCAUGAAAGCAAUAAAAAAUCACAAGCCUUCUGUACUUUUAGGCUUUGAUAUGUCUGAACUUAAAAAUGUUAAACACAGAUUGAACUUUGACUAUGAACCACAAAACUUGUAAAAAAAAAUUAGGAAAUCUAAAGUACUAGAUACUUAGUAGUCUUUUUCAAUUGAGAUUUUUAAAAAUGUUAUUUUCUUCACUGUAUGUUGAACUAAUCAAUUUCAGUGGUCUUUAUGCUGCUCUUUAGAUUUAUUUCAGGUGCUCAGAAAGACUUUUAUAUAAAGAACUGAAUAGUUCUUUCAAAUUUAUUGUUUCCUGCAGCUUGAUUUUGUAACAGUUGUUUUUCAUUUUUUCCUCUGUCAUGUAAAUUAAAUCUUUUGAUAUUUCAUGCAUGCCUUGUUUUCCCAGUAGUGUCAGUAUCGUAUGAUAAAAACUGAAAUCUAUAUAUGUUUGUUUUUCAUUUAAGGAAAUUUCAGCUUGUUUCAGAAUACUUGAUUAACUGCGAAUUAAAACUGCUCUCCCUCAGCUUCACAAGUAGCAGCAGAUGAUACAGUAAAUGUUUAGAGAAACGCACACGUAGCCCUUUAGGGUGUCGAGAUAUACAGGGCAUCCUGAUCCUAGAUGGUUACAGCACCAACAGUAACAGUGCCCUCUGUGUGCCAGAUUUUAUAUGUGCUUUCAAAUAACUAACUGGAGUGGCUACGUACAUCAAUAAGACAACUUACACAAAAGAAGGAGGGCAGCUGAUGCAGGAAUUUCUGAAGCUCACUGGGGAAGCCUAAGUUUAGCCGGGCCAGUGGCUCCUCCCCACUCCAGUCACAUGACUCCAGGCAUGUUAGCAGAGGCCUUUUCACUGCGUUCAGCUCUAAGCUACUUCAGUGGUGAUGCCAGAGGGAGCAGACUUGCCUCAGGUGUGACCUGAGCCCGAAUCCAGCACCUGUGCCCUGUCGACUAAGAAACGUGCCUUCCUGAGCUGCUUCCUUAACAAAGAUUCUCCAGCAGCGUUUUUCAACCUGGGAAGGGCCGAACACCCUACAAGGGUUAAGGAGCGUGAGAAAGAAACACUUUCAAAGCUGGACAGCCCUAAAGCCCAAGCGAAUCGCAAGCUGCUAACAGCAGUGCACGUGACGGCGCUAUCUCCACCCCCGACCCUGACGUCAGCAGACCUUCCCGUGGGCUUCAGCGAGGACGGAUUCUGCUCUGGACAGCCCAGAACUUACUUGAAGAAAGCGUUCUGCUGUUUGAAGAGGUUCAGAGAAAAUUAAAGUCUCCGGCUCCACCAAAACCCUAGGACACUAGCUCCACCCCUUCAGCAGAGGCACAGCCCAGGGGCGAGGACGAACACCUCCAGGGCGGCUGGAGCACCUUCUUCUGACACUGGCUGCCCUUCCAAGGUGGGUGAUGGUAUCUCACUCAUCGCUGUGCCAGCUGGGCUUGUGCAAGGACAGUGUAAAAAGCUUCGUUCUUUAAAACCUGUAGAGUCUGAGUGGCACAUGAGUCCUGUCUUUGCUGCAAGGGUCUGGGGUUCAUUCCGUGCUUUUCCUUUGGGUACUGAAUUCUGCAUUCAGUUAGGAAGCAUCACAUUCAAGUUAUUCCUUGUCCCCAGACCUCACUGCCCUCACCUUUCUGCCUGGAACGCUCCAAACCACGCUUAAAGCAGCUACUCCUUUUGUUCCUCAAACUAAGACCGGCGUGAUCCUUAGAUGCAUUGUCGAGAAAUUAAUGUAAUCUGGGAACGUGUCAUGUGACCUUUAAGGCCCGUUCAUACACGGACCCCAAAAUGGUUCAUUGCUCCACAUAUUCUUGGUUAUCAGACCACAGGUCAACAGGGCAGUGUGUGUGUGCAAAAGGAUGUUUGUACACAGGCACCUGAAGAGAGAGGGAAGGAGCCUGGAUGAACAAAUCAGCUAAGAAUCCAAAGCGUUAUUUCUAGACUGCUUAUGACCAGAAAUUUGUACUCGUUUCCUUUUUUCCCCCAAUUUAAAAAAUUGUUAGAAUACAUGUAAUAUAAAAUUUACCAUCUUAACCAUUCUUAAGUGUACAGUUUGGUGGCAUUUAAAUACAUUCACAUUGUUGUGGAACCGUCACCACCAUCCAUCCAGGGAACAUUUUUAUCUUCCCAAAUUGAAACGCUGUCUCUAUUCAACACUAACUCCCAUAUUUCCCCUCCCCCAGCCCCUGGAACCCAGCGUUCUACUUUCUGUCUCUAUGUAUGAUUUUGCCAACUCUAGUGAUCUCCUUUAAAUGGAAUCAUUCAGGAUUUGUCCUUUUGUGACUGGCUCAUUUCACUCAGCAUAAUUCCUCCAGUUUCAUCCAUGUUGUAGUGUGUGUCAGAGUGUCCUUCCUCUUAAAGGCUGAAUAAUAUUUGGUCAUAUGUAUUUCCAUUUUUUGUUUAUCUGUUCAUCCUUUGAUGGACACUGGGGUUACUUCCACGGUUUACCUACUGUGAACAAAGCUGCUGUGAACAUGGGUGCCAAGAUGCCAUGCUCAUUUGCUUUCAGUUAACGCUCAGCAUGUCUGGGCUCCCGUGAGGCUCAGCUGUGACCUCUACGUGUCCGGGGAGAUGGGCUGCGAAGCCCUUGCUGCACCUGGUGUGGGACGAGAUGUGACUCCCUUCUUUGUGUUUUUCUGUAUUUUACAAGUUUUCUAAAAUUAAAGUGUGUUUAUUUAGUUCUUUAAAAAUACAAGGAGUGUAUCAUCGAACAGUGCUACCAGUUGGGAAAGGUGAUUAAAUCCAAUCGACCCACACAUAAGUGAGAUCACCGUAUUUGUCUUUCUCUGACUUACUUCACUUAGCGCGAUGCCUUCAAGGUCCAUCCAUGUUGUCGCAAAUGGCAAGAGUUUAUUCUUUUUUAUGGCUGAGUAGUAUUCCAUUGUGUGUAUGUAUGUGUGUGUAUUUAUGUAAAUAUGUAUUAAUGAAAAUUAUAUGUAUAUAAUUACACUAGGCCUGUCAAUAUUUUCUUUAUAUACUUAGGAGCUCCUAUGUUGGCUGCAUAAAUAUUUACAAAUGUUAUAUCCUGUUGUGGAUUGAGCCCUUUAUCACUGUGUAAUGCCCUUUUUGUCUCUUAUUGCAGACUUUGCUUUAAAGUCUCUUUUGUCCGAUAUAAGGAUAGCAGCCACAGCUUUCUUUUGGUUUCCAUUUGCAUGGAACAUCUUUUUCCAUCCCUUCACUUUCAGUCUGUGUGUAAUGGAGACAGCAUAUAGAUGGGUCUGUUUUUUUAAUCCAUCAGCCACUCUGUCUUUUGGUUGGAAAAUUUAAUCCAUUUAAAUUUAAAGUUAUUAUUGGUAGGUAUGUACUUAUUCCCAUUUUGUUAACUGGUUUCUGGCUGUUCUGUAGUUCCUCUGUUUCUUCAUCUCUUGCUCUCUCCCUUGUGGUUUGAUUACUUUCUUUAGUGCUGUUCUUAGAGUCCUUUCUCAUUAUCUUUUGUGUGUCUGCUAUAGGUUUUUGUUUUGUGGUCACCCUGAGGCUCACAUCUAACAAUCUGUAUUUACGACAGUCUACUUUAAGUUGAUAACAACCUAACUUCGAACACAUUCUAAAGCUCUACAUUUUAAUUGCCCCCCAACAUUUUAUGUUGUUGGGGGUCACAUUUUACACCUUUCAUCUUGUAUAUCCCUUAAUAUUAUUGUAGUUAUCGUUACUUUUACUACUUUUGUCUUUUAACAUUCAUAUUAGCUUUGUAAGUGAUUAAUGCAAUACCUUUACCUUUAUCAGUGAGAAUUACACUUUCAUAUGUUUUCUUCUUAAUAAUUAGAGCUUAAAGUCAUCCUUUUAACAUUUCUUGUAAGGCCGGUUUAGUGCUGAUGAACUGCAUUAGCUUUUGCUUGUCUGGAAAACUCUAUCUCUCUUUCAAUUCUGAUUGAUAACUUUGCCAGGUAGAGUAUUCUUGGUUAGAAGUUUUUUUCUUUCAGCACUUUGAAUAUAUUGUGCUACUCCUUACUGGACUGCAAAGUUUCUGCUGAAAAUACUGCUGAUAGUGUUAUGGGGGUCUCUUGUAUGUAAUAAGUUGUUUUUCUCUUGCUGCUUUUUUUGGAAGUGUAGUAGAUUUACAAUAUUACAUUAGUUUCAGGUGUACAGCAUAGUGAAUACAUAUUUUUAUAGAUUAUACUCCAUUAAAAAUUAUUACAAAAUCAUGAUUAUAAUUCCCUGUACAAUAUAUCCUUGUUGCUUAUCUAUUUUACACAUAGUAUUCAAUAGUUUCUAUAACUUAAUCCCAUCCCCCUAACAUGCUCCUCCCCACUUCCCUCUCCCCAGUGGUAACCACUAGUUUGUUUUCUAUAUCUGUGAACCUGUUUCUGUUUUGAUAUAUACAUUCAUUAGUUUUAUUGUUUAGAUUCCACAAAUAAAUGACAUCAUACAGUA